GACGAACGCUGGCGGCGUGCUUAACACAUGCAAGUCGAACGGAAAGGCCCUGCUUUUGUGGGGUGCUCGAGUGGCGAACGGGUGAGUAACACGUGAGUAACCUGCUCUUGACUUUGGGAUAACUUCAGGAAACUGGGGCUAAUACCGGAUAGGAGCUCCUGCUGCAUGGUGGGGGUUGGAAAGUUUCGGCGGUUGGGGCUGGACUCGCGGCUUAUCAGCUUGUUGGUGGGGUAGUGGCUUACCAAGGCUUUGACGGGUAGCCGGCCUGAGAGGGUGACCGGCCACAUUGGGACUGAGAUACGGCCCAGACUCCUACGGGAGGCAGCAGUGGGGAAUAUUGCACAAUGGGCGGAAGCCUGAUGCAGCAACGCCGCGUGCGGGAUGACGGCCUUCGGGUUGUAAACCGCUUUCGCCUGUGACGAAGCGUGAGUGACGGUAAUGGGUAAAGAAGCACCGGCUAACUACGUG
rnacentral:rRNA from 1 species